rnacentral:rRNA from 1 species
GAACGCGAAGAACCUUACCUACCCUUGACAUGGAAGGAAGCCUGGAGAGAUCUGGGAGUGCCCGAAAGGGAACCUUCACACAGGUGCUGCAUGGCUGUCGUCAGCUCGUGUCGUGAGAUGUUGGGUUAAGUCCCGCAACGAGCGCAACCCUUGUCAUUAGUUGCUACGCAAGAGCACUCUAAUGAGACUGCCGGUGACAAACCGGAGGAAGGUGGGGAUGACGUCAAGUCCUCAUGGCCCUUAUGGGUAGGGCUUCACACGUCAUACAAUGGUACAUACAGAGGGCCGCCAACCCGCGAGGGGGAGCUAAUCCCAGAAAGUGUAUCGUAGUCCGGAUUGUAGUCUGCAACUCGACUACAGAAGUUGAAUCGCUAGUA